GAUCGAAUAAGGUAUAAAAGACAGCAAUUUCUCAGUAUGUGAAACAUAGUGGAAUCUAUUACAAAAAGAGAUGUGGUAUUUGGUUAUCGCCUUGUUCUUGGGAUCCACUGUUAGUGUCUUUGGACAACGACAACAAAUCUCCGGGAUACCAUGUGUAAACAUUUUGGGUCAAUCUACGUGUCCACGUGGUCAGCGCUGUGUGAAUAAUUUUUGUCGGUCGGAAGAUGGAGAUCAACAAUUUUGCUCCUGGGUAACUCUUCUUUUUAAAUUCAUACUAAUUU